rnacentral:tRNA from 1 species
GAAGGGCUGCAGCUCAGGGGCAGAGCGUCUGCUUUGCAUGCAGAAUGUCCCAGGUUCAAUCCCUGCCAUCUUCA